UUCCUCAUCCUCUGUACGGAAUGGACACUCCUCCAACAUGGCGUACCCCACGGGGAAUCGCAACUCUGGCGCGGCCACGUUCCCCGCCUGACCACGCUGCCGAUGGGCACUGAAGGCCCCAGAACUUCGACUCCGUAACAUGGCGAUGUUGACUGUUGGUUGACUGCGGCUUCGAACGCGGUUUUGCGCCUGUGCAGAGCCACGCCCCUUCGUGUGUGAACCUCCCACCCAAACCCCGAGAAGGGGCGGUGCUAGGGGUGGUGACCGGAAGCGCCUGCAGUUUUCGGCCGCGGGUUAAUAGUUGUUGUGAAGAGGAUCCCGGUGCUCUGUGUCCGAGCGGUGUGAAGAGAAGGGAGAGAUUAAGUCUUCACUGUGAUAAGGAUUUUAUUCAUUUCUUCUUCCGCUGUCCAUGAUCCAGUUUGAAUUGUUUUGUAUGAAGUGGUUUCUUGGAAUCUCUGCUUAGCCCUUGGGACAGACCCUGUGGUGAAGGCUGCAAGAUCUUCCAUUUCCAGCAUCAGCAGCUGUGGUUAAGUCCACAGGUGCCCACCUGACCUCGGGUUCCUGGAAAGGGCAGAGUUGUCAGCAAGAGAACCUGGGGGUAAAGCCCAGCAGGAAGAUGCCAGGCAAUCGGAGUGCUGCUGGGCCGUCCCUGACCCUGACUACAGGGGGACGUGACAACUCCUGUGAGCUGUUCUUCCAAGGAGAAAGCAUCUUUGAAUUUUAUGGCUUCAGUCACCAUCUGCAGUGAUUUCAGAGCCCAAGAAAUAACGUCUCUCACUGUUUCCAUUGUUUACCCAUCUAUUUGCCAUGAAGUGAUGGGACAGGAUGCCAUGAACUUCAUUUUUUGGAUGAAAAGGACAAACUGAGCUGAGUGUGGAGCACUUCUCAGCCAACUCCAAAUGGGCCUGCCACCCAAGUAAAGCUGCACUGUCACCCACCACCGCUGGAGCAUGCCCCCAAAUUGAGCAGCUGCUGCUAAGUUUUAUGUAAUAAUCUGUUCUAGGUUGAAACAAAUGUAGAUAAGACUAGUGCAUGAUUUUGAACUGCCUCUGGAUCCAUGCCGGGAAAUCUACUUAAACGCCUAUCUUGAAGGUCAUCGUUUCGCCCUUACUAGAAGUCGGACUGAGGUGUGAAGAUGAAGAGAUGCCAUGGAAAGGGACCAAAAUAAAGGGAGACAGCUGAGAAAGGAGGAGGAGGGUUUGGAGAAAGAGAAAGUGACUUUAGUUCUCCCAUUUCCUCUUCCAUUUUCCUACAUCUUCCCAAAUAAUGUAACCUUCUUCCUAGGAUGAUAUUCAACCUGUAAACACAAGUAUGUCCUUUGCUGGAGAUGAAAGUGCAAGUGUUAGUCGACGAGUCGUGUCCACCUCUUUGCAACACCAUGGACCCCAGCCUGCCAGGUUCCUGUGUCCGUGGGAUUCUCCAGGCAAGAAUACUGGAGUGGGUAGCCAUUCCCUUCUCCAGGGGGUCUUCCUGACCCAGGGAUCAAACUCAGGUCUCCUGCGUUGCUAGCAGAUUCUUUACCGUCUGAACCACCAGGGAAACCUGGGCAAGAGGUUCUUCUAAAAACCACCAUAUAUGUUAAUUCAUCCAAAUUAAUGGAAGCAUGCUCAGGCCAAUAUAAGCCUGCAUUUUCCUUUCAAAUGGAUGUCCUUCCAAAUGUCAUAUAGAGCUGUGUUGGCCAUUCAAGAGAGAAGAUCUGCAGGCAAUAUCUGGGCUUCCCAUCUUUCCCACCAUUAAAGCUGAUGGUGGCCCUGAUGGAUUUUUAGGUCCUGUAUUAUGCGUGCUUACUCAAAAAGACAAUCUAGAAUUUGGAGAGUGAGAUCUAUCCAGGUCAUAUUUGAAAAGAGCAAAGUGCUAAGAGGGAGGCAUUUUAUAAUUCACGUUCACUGGUCUGCUCAGUUCAGGAACGUUCAGGCCAUCCCAUCCUUAUCAGCAAACUGAGAAAAUUAAAAGUACAGUCUCCUGAAAGCCCAGGACAUCUUCUCCACAGAUGGAGAAUAGAAACAGAAUGAUUUCAUUACUAAGUAUUAAACCAGGUUGUGAUUGGCAUCAUGGGCAAUCUGGUAAUCAGACUGCAAAAGUAGCAAGAAAUCAACCUUUUAACUGAGCAGAUACAGUCCAGUACCUAAAUGUUGUUAAGAAGAAUGACAACUAGUUGUCCUGCAAGAGGACCUGAGACCACCAUUUUCUCUACAUUCGAUCAUAGUUCAUCCUAAGCUCUGCUGGUAAUGGGAGUGGCAUCUGUGCCAGUUAACUGCCUUUAUCCAAAGGCAAAGUCAGACUUCUCCUCUCUUUUAUGACAAGGAGGUAUCAAGGAAAGAGAAGAAAGCCUUCCUAAGUGAUGAAUGCAAAGAAGUAGAGGGAAACAAUAGAAAGGGAAAAACUAGAGAUGUCUUCAAGAAAAUUAGAGAUACCAAGGGAACAUUUCAUGCAAAAUUGUGCACAGCAAAAGACAGAAAUGGUAUGGACCUAACAGAAGCAGAAGAUAUUAAGAAGGGGUGGCAAGAGUACACAGAAGAACUAUACAAAGCAGAUGUUAAUGACCCAGAUAACCACGAUGGUGUGAUCACUCACCUAGAGCCAGAUAUCCUGGAAAGUGAAGUCAGGUGGGUCUUUGGAAGCAUCAUUAUGAACAAAGCUAGUGGAGGUGAUGGAAUUCCAGCUGAGCUAUUUCAAAUCCUAAAAGAUGAUGCUGUGAAAGUGCUGCAAUCAAUAUGUCAGCAAAUUUGGAAAACUCAGCAGUGGCCACAGGACUGGAAAAGGUCAGUUUUCAUUCCAAUCCCAAAGAAAGGCAAUGCCAAAGAAUGUUCUAACUACCACACAAUUGCACUCAUCUCAAACACGAGCAAAGUAAUGCUCACAAUUCUCCAAGCCAGGCUUCAACAGAACAUGAGCUGAGAACUUGCAGAUGUUCAAGCUGGAUUUAGAAAAGGUAGAGGAACCAGAGAUCAAAUUGCCAACAUGCAUGGAUCAUAAAACAAGCAAGAGAAUUCCAGAAAAACACAUAUUUGUGCUUUAUUGACUAUGCUAAAGCCGUUGGCUGUGUGGAUUGCAACAAACUGCGGAAAGUUCUUUAAGAGAUGGGAAUACCAGACCACCUUACCUGCCUCCUGAGAAAUCUGUAUGCAGGUCAAGAAGCAACUGUUAGAACUGGACAUGAAACAACAGGCUGGUUCAAAAUUGGCAAAGGACACGUGAAGGCUGUAUAUUGUCACCCUGCUUAUUUAACUUCUAUGCAACAUAUGGAAUUCAGAAAGCUGGUAAUGAUGACCCUAUAUGCGAGACAGCAAAAGAGACACAGAUGUAAAGAACAGACUGUUGCACUCUGUGGGUGAAGGUGAGGGUGGGAUGAUUUGAGAGAAUAGCAUUGAUACAUGUAUAUUACCAUAUGUGAACUAGAUCGUCAGUCCAGGUUCGAUGCAUGAGGCAGGGUGCUCAGGGAUGGUGCACUGAGAUGACCCUGAGAGAUGGGAUGGGGAAAGGGGUGGGAGGGAGGGUCAGGAUGGGGAACACAUGUACACCCAUGGCUGAUUCAUGUGAAUGUAUGGCAAAAGCACCAUGAUAUUGUAAAGUAAUUAGCCUCCAAAAAAUAAUUUUAAAACAGAAAUUCCCAUUAGCUAGAUGAUAUCUAAAUAAGAUUAUUUAAAAAACUGCCAAUUCUUGCUUCUACAAUAUAAAACACUUUAAAUAACUUAUUGAAUUAUAUAGUAAUCUGCAUAUUGAGCAUUUCAUAUUAAAUAUCUGUGGUAAUUUUAUAAAAUCAGAAAAAAAACUAUGCAGAGUACAUCAUGGGAAAUGCCUGGCUGGAUGAAGCACAAACUGGAAUCAAGAUUGCCGGGAGAAGCACAAACUGGAAUCAAGAUUGCCGGGAGAAAUAUCAAUAACUUCAGAUGCACAAAUUACACUACCCUUAAGGCAGAAACCAAAGAGAAACUAUAGAGAGCCUCUUGAUGAAUGUAGAAAAGGAGAGUGAAAAAGCUGGCUUCUUGAGCUCUAAAAUCACUGCAGAUGGUGACUGCAGCCACAAAAUUCAAAGGUGCUUGCUCCUUGGAAGAAAAGCUAUGACAAUCCAAGAGAGCAUAUUAAAAAUCAGAGACAGUACUUUGCCCACAAAGGUCUGUCUAGUCAAAGCUAUGGUUUUUCCAGCAGUCAUGUAUGGAUGUGAGAGUUGGACCAUAAAGAGAGCUGAGGGGCAGAGAAUUGAUGCCUUUGAACUGUGGUGUUGGAGAAGCCUCUUGAGAGUCCCUUGGACUGCCAGGAGAUCAAACCAGUCCAUCCUAAAGGAAAUGAGUCCUGAAUAUUCAUUGGAAGGACUGAUGCUGCAGCUGAAGCUCCAAUACUUUGGCCACCUGAUGUGAAUAACUGACUCAUUAGAAAAGACUGUGUUUCUGGGAAAGAUUGAAGGCUGUAGGAGAAGGGGACAACAGAGGAUGAGAUGGUUGGAUGGCAUCACUGACUUGACGGACAUGAGUUUGAGUAAGCCCCGGGAGUUGGUGAUGGACAGGGAAGCCUGGCAUGCUGCAGCCCAUGGGGUCACAAGGAGUCGGACAGGGCUGAGGGACUGAACUGAACUGAACUGAGUUCCAGCUUAGAGCCAGGCAGUGAGGCUAAGCUCCCAGGAUGACAGAGAGACAGAACACUGUCUUCUUUGGUGUUUAUAUUUCAAGGAGAUGUCUCCUAGUCCCAAAAGAAAAUUAUUCCUGGGUUGUUUUGCUGACAGAAGGCUUGUUUACCCUUUUAAGAUUUACAUAUGUAUCCAAGGGGCAGAGGAAGGGUUUACAAAUACCAGUUUUCUCAAGGAAAUAUUCUAAGAAAAGGGAAGGAGGGAAAGGUCUCUUUCUCUUAUAGCCACAGGGAAGAUUCCCUUUUUUUAAAAUGGCUGUGAGUUUUAAAAGGCUGUGAGUUUCCUAAGCCUGAGUCCCCACAGAUGUGACGCAGAUCAUGCUUGACAAAUGCCAGUAUGUGCACUGAGUUGCCUGAACCUGAGCCUGGGCAACCUGCUGCCUAAGAGCAGCCUGGAAACCAGCCUUCAAGUCAUUUGCUGUGAGCACAAACCUGAGACAUGCCAGGGAAACAGCACUCGGGGCCUUGCUUUCCUGUCACACUCAGCAAGAUGUGUAGGAGCACAAGAGCGCCAUGGAGGAGUGUCUUCCAAGUCCAGUGGGACAGAAAAGAAGGCCUAGGCAGUGACACAGCACUCCCAGUGCCGUCAGUCUGUGCUGUGCGUUCGUUUACAGCCACAGACUCUCCGUGGCCAGGGCCACUGGAGCAACAUACAUUCCAUUGGAGGUAAUCCACAGUGAGCCUGCACCCCCUGCUAGUUUUUUCCACUGGCCAUACUGGGCCAUUGUAUUGAUGCUUUACUGUCGUCAUCUACCUGCUGCAUUUUAGUCCUAAUCAAGGCUGUGACUUCUUUGUCCUCCAGGGAUUCUCUGCUGUUUCUUUUCGGACACCUGGGAGAGGAUGAGGGAGAUGCGUUGGGUAGUCAAUUGCAUGCUCUGCUGUCAUUUCUCUGCACGUGGCAGUCCCUGAACCAGAGAAUUCCCUUUGGUCUUUAUCCAGCAUUCCUAGAACAAGCAUGCAAAACACUGUCCCAGUGAAGUAUUAGGUUGUGGAAGCAACAAUGACAGUUCUGUUGACCCUUGAACAAUGUGGGGGUUAGCGGCACCAACCCCCGCUCUGAGUUAAGAAUCCAAGUAUAACUUUAGACUCUUCCAAAACUUCACUACUAAUAGCCUACUGUUGACUGGAACCCUUACGGUUAACAUAAACCGUUGAUUAACAUAUAUUUUUUAUGUUAUAUCCAUUACCUGGGCCCUAGCGGUAAAGAAGCUGACUUCCAGGGCAGGAGACAAGCAAGACAGGUGGGUUUGAUCCUUGGGUGGGGAAGAUCCCCUGGAGGAGGAAGUGGCAAACCACUCCAGUAUUCUAGCCUGGGAAAUCCCGUGGACAGAGGAGCCUGGCAGGCUACAGUCCAUGGGACCACAAAGAGUCAGACACAACUGACAAUGCACACUCACU